rnacentral:rRNA from 1 species
AGAGUUUGAUCAUGGCUCAGAUUGAACGCUGGCGGCAUGCUUUACACAUGCAAGUCGAACGGCAGCAUAGGUGCUUGCACCUGAUGGCGAGUGGCGAACGGGUGAGUAAUAUAUCGGAACGUGUCCGGAAGUGGGGGAUAACGCAGCGAAAGUUGCGCUAAUACCGCAUAUGCCCUGAGGGGGAAAGGGGGGGAUCGCAAGACCUCUCGCUUUCGGAGUGGCCGAUAUCGGAUUAGCUAGUUGGUGGGGUAAAGGCCUACCAAGGCGACGAUCCGUAGCUGGUCUGAGAGGACGACCAGCCACACUGGGACUGAGACACGGCCCAGACUCCUACGGGAGGCAGCAGUGGGGAAUUUUGGACAAUGGGCGCAAGCCUGAUCCAGCCAUGCCGCGUGAGUGAAGAAGGCCUUCGGGUUGUAAAGCUCUUUCACACGGAAAGAAAACGUGCAGAUUAAUACUCUGUAUGGAUGACGGUACCGUCAGAAGAAGCACCGGCUAACUACGUGCCAGCAGCCGCGGUAAUACGUAGGGUGCGAGCGUUAAUCGGAAUAAUGGCGUAAAGCUCCGCGGCGUUUCGAACACAAUGUGAAUCCCGGGCUCACCUGGAAUGCUUUGUGNUGCAGCUAAGUUA